ACGAACGCUGGCGGCGCGCCUAAUACAUGCAAGUCGAGCGAGAAGACGUAGCAAUACGUUUGUAAAGCGGCGAACGGGUGAGGAAUACAUGGGUAACCUACCCUCGAGUGGGGAAUAACUAGCCGAAAGGUUAGCUAAUACCGCGUACGCUCCUUGGACUUCGGUUCAGGGAGGAAAGCGAUACCGUGGGUAUCGCGCUCUUGGAGUGGCUCA
rnacentral:rRNA from 1 species